GCCGAAGUGGCGGAAUGGCAGACGCGGCGGACUUAAAAUCCGCUGUCCGCAAGGGCAUGUGAGUUCGAAUCUCACCUUCGGCACCA
rnacentral:tRNA from 1 species